UACGGGGGGUGCGAGCGUUGUCCGGAAUCACUGGGCGUAAAGGGCGCGUAGGUGGUUUGAUAAGGGUGUGGUGAAAGCCCGGAGCUCAACUCCGGGUCUGCCGUGCCGACUGUCAAACUCGAGGGCUGUAGAGGCAGACGGAAUUCCGGGUGUAGCGGUGGAAUGCGUAGAGAUCCGGAGGAAGACCGGUGGCGAAGGCGGGUCUCUGGACAGUUCCUGACGCUGAGGCACGAAGGCCAGGGGAGCAAACGGG
rnacentral:rRNA from 1 species